GCCUGGAUGGCUCAGUUGGUUAAGCAUCUGACUCUGGCUCAGGUCCUGUCUCACGAUUUGUGAGUUUGAGCCCCACGUCAGGCU
rnacentral:tRNA from 1 species